GGGAAUGUGACUUAGUGGUAGAGUGCUUGCCUGAUGUGCGUGAAGCCCCUGGGUUCGAUUCCUCAUUACCA
rnacentral:tRNA from 1 species